rnacentral:rRNA from 1 species
UACGUAGGGUGCAAGCGUUAAUCGGAAUUACUGGGCGUAAAGCGUGCGCAGGCGGUUUUGUAAGUCUGUCGUGAAAUCCCCGGGCUCAACCUGGGAAUUGCGAUGGAGACUGCAAGGCUAGAAUCUGGCAGAGGGGGGUAGAAUUCCACGUGUAGCAGUGAAAUGCGUAGAGAUCGGCAGGAACACCCAGGGGGAAACCAGUCGACUGGGCAGCACCUGACGCUGAGGUGCGAGAGCGUGGGGAGCGAACCGG